rnacentral:rRNA from 1 species
AUUGAACGCUGGCGGCAGGCCUAACACAUGCAAGUCGAGCGGAUGAAGGGAGCUUGCUCCUGGAUUCAGCGGCGGACGGGUGAGUAAUGCCUAGGAAUCUGCCUGGUAGUGGGGGAUAACGUCCGGAAACGGGCGCUAAUACCGCAUACGUCCUGUGGGAGAAAGUGGGGGAUCUUCGGACCUCACGCUAUCAGAUGAGCCUAGGUCGGAUUAGCUAGUUGGUGGGGUAAAGGCCUACCAAGGCGACGAUCCGUAACUGGUCUGAGAGGAUGAUCAGUCAAAAUGGAACUGAGAAAAGGUCCAGACUCCUAAGGGAGGCAGGAGUGGGGAAUAUUGGACAAUGGGAGAAAGCCUGAUCCAGCCAUGCCGCGUGUGUGAAGAAGGUCUUAGGAUUGUAAAGCACUUUAAGUUGGGAGGAAGGGCAGUAAGUUAAUAACUUGCUGUUUUGACGUCAACAACAGAAUAAGCCCCGGCUAAAUUCGUG